rnacentral:lncRNA from 1 species
UGAGCGCUAUGGGUGCAUUAGCUCAACGGCUCAACGGCUUGGAUACUUGAUUGGACUGAUCCGCAAUAGCUCCUUGCAUUGGCGUCGAGAACGGAGAUGCUAUCUGGAUUUUGAAAAUUCUGGCGCAAGCGAGCCAUUCAGAUUGAAGAAGAAUGGUCUGAGAUGACAAGCCACUGCACACCGGCCACACCGCACCGUCUCGCCGUCUGUCCGGUGGCUGCUUGCAGUUCUAGUUCGGGAUGAUGACUGAGAUAACAAAGUUUCAGGAUCGAAUUAGUUGGGAUAUCCGCACAAACAUGGAAAUCGGGAUUGAAGACACGCUAUAUUAUACGAAGCAGAGAUGAAAACCCGCAUGGAUACGAGGACGAGAAUGCGCAGUACGCAGGACGUAGACUAUAUGGAAUAAGAUUUGACGAAUUGUCGGAUCAAGAUGAUGAUAAGGAUGAUGAGAAAUCGCUGGGCAAAUUGACGAGUUGAUGGCCUGGGCUUGUGUAUGACUAGUCAAAUUGAGUCCGUCGAGUCAUGAGUUGAGGUUGUGAAGUGGUGUGUCGUUGUGGGCAGCUCCUUCCUUUUCUGAUA